rnacentral:rRNA from 1 species
GACGAACGCUGGCGGCGUGCUUAACACAUGCAAGUCGAACGGAAAGGCCCUGCUUUUGUGGGGUGCUCGAGUGGCGAACGGGUGAGUAACACGUGAGUAACCUGCCCUUGACUUUGGGAUAACUUCAGGAAACUGGGGCUAAUAUCGGAUAGGAGCUCCUGCUGCAUGGGGGUGGUUGGAAAGUUUCGGCGGUUGGGGAUGGACUCGCGGCUUAUCAGCUUGUUGGUGGGGUAGUGGCUUACCAAGGCUUUGACGGGUAGCCGGCCUGAGAGGGUGACCGGCCACAUUGGGACUGAGAUACGGCCCAGACUCCUACGGGAGGCAGCAGUGGGGAAUAUUGCACAAUGGGCGGAAGCCUGAUGCAGCAACGCCGCGUGCGGGAUGACGGCCUUCGGGUUGUAAACCGCUUUCGCCUGUGACGAAGCGUGAGUGACGGUAAUGGGUAAAGAAGCACCGGCUAACUACGUG